GCCCUGGCUUUAUUUUGGCAAAGCUUCGCUCACCUCCAGCCUCUUUUCAGAGCAACAGCAAGCCGUUACUAACGUUUGCUCAGCUGGACUGGCUUCCCAAAUGUUGCCAACACCUGGACAGUUUUUCGCGCUCCUUCCGUCGGAGUUCGCUCGUUCGCUGAACGUUAGGAGCAGGUGUCUGGGAGCCCACCUGUUCACUAGCGCCGGUCAGUUGCCUUUUCCUUUUUCAUAGAAUUCAUCAUCCACGUCUGUUCCUUCCCAGUUUCUUGAUCCUCCAAAGGGAAAAGCCAUGGCUUUGACCCUGAACUCUCAGCCUUUCUUCAGCCAUCCCGCCUCUCCUGAGGAUAAUGGCAAAGGUUCUCACCUAUCUAA